rnacentral:tRNA from 1 species
GUUAAAACUAUAUUUAUAUAGUUUAAAUAAAACAUUACACUUUCAUUGUAAAAUUAAACACUUAGUUAUAUAA